rnacentral:rRNA from 1 species
CGGGGGGCAGCAGUGGGGAAUUUUGGACAAUGGGCGCAAGCCUGAUCCAGCAAUGCCGCGUGAGUGAAGAAGGCCUUCGGGUUGUAAAGCUCUUUUGUCAGGGAAGAAACGCCAUCGCCUAAUACGAGGUGGUAAUGACGGUACCUGAAGAAUAAGCACCGGCUAACUACGUGCCAGCAGCCGCGGUAAUACGUAGGGUGCAAGCGUUAAUCGGAAUUACUGGGCGUAAAGCGUGCGCAGGCGGUUAUGUAAGACAGAUGUGAAAUGCCCGGGCUUAACCUGGGAACUGCAUUUGUGACUGCAUGGCUAGAGUUUGGCAGAGGGGGGUAGAAUUCCACGUGUAGCAGUGAAAUGCGUAGAUAUGUGGAGGAACACCGAUGGCGAAGGCAGCCCCCUGGGUCAAGACUGACGCUCAUGCACGAAAGCGUGGGGAGCAAACAGGAUUAGAUACCCUAGU